GGAUGCGAUCGUACCAGCACUAAAGCACCGGAUCCCAUCAGAAUUCUGAAGUUAAGCGUGCUUGGGCGAGAGUAGUACUAGGAUGGUGACCUCCUGGGAAGUCCUCGUGUUGCAUUCC
rnacentral:rRNA from 2 species